CAGCAGCCGCGGUAAUACCAGCACCUCGAGUGGUCAGGAGGUUCAUUGGGCCUAAAGCAUCCGUAGCCGGUUGCAUAAGUUUUCGGUUAAAUCUAUGCGCUUAACGUAUAGGCCGCCGAAAAUACUGUGCAGCUAGGGAGUGGGAGAGGUACACGGUACUCGAUAGGAAGGGGUAAAAUCCUUUGAUCUAUUGAUGACCACCUGUGGCGAAGGCGGUGUACCAGAACACGUUCGACGGUGAGGGAUGAAAGCUGGGGGAGCAAACCGGAUUAGAUACCCCCGUAGUCCCUGUCUCUUAUAA
rnacentral:rRNA from 1 species